CCAGAACCUCUGCAGUGAGUCCUGGUCUCCUGUGAGCCACGGCAGCACACGGCGAAUUACAGGAAAGAAAAGAAGUCAUUACUCUCAACAGCGACAAUAACAAGAGUAGCAAGCAUCUUCUAUGGUCCUCAAAGGGUUUUUGAUUAAUUAGCUGACUUCAAGCAGCACUGCUUAACUCAGGAACAUUCAGCUGGAGAAAAGAUGAUUUACCCAGAAGCUCCUUAUGGAAUAACAAACUAAACCCAACCUCUGCGGACCCAGGCUUACCUCAGAUGGGAGAGGCACUUUCCUAAUAAGGAGAAGCUCUUUACUUCUUGAGAGGAGGUGCAGCUUGGCUGUCAUCAUUGGCGCCCUUCCCAGCACUCCCUGUUCCAGACACUGCCCUUUAUUUGAAGAAGUGGUAAGGAAAUGGCUCCUAAUGUGACAGAGUGAAGCCUCAGAAGGUCCUGGAGUAUGAACAGAACAGUUGCUUUAAAAUAAGGAGCAAUAAACAGUAGAUUCAGUUGGUCCUGAUGAGUUCCAGGGACCAGCAGCCAGUGAGGAUCAGCAACAGAAUCCAGCAAUUGGCAGUCAAUUGACAGUGUCCAGCAUUGAAUGGCAGUGGCCAGCAGAGGCAGAAACCAGCAGCUGGGAAGGUUGGCUGACAGCAUCCUGUAUUAACUGAUGUUGAUUGGAGGCAUCAGCACUGCUAGCAGAGCUGCACUAUGAUAGUUUGUAAUUUCUAUCUGAGUUGAGCAAAAGAACCAUUAACUGAUUGGCAAUAACAUAAUUACUGGUCCCAUUUUCACUCCCUCCAUGAGUAUAUGAGACACCCAAUACUAAAACUCAAUCUUUUCAAAUAAAAAACAAAUUUCCAUGACAAGUGUUUUAGUUACUUUCUCUUUGAGGAAACAAAGAAAAAAAAAACCCUCAACAAACACAAGUUAAAGGAGGAGAAGUUUAU
rnacentral:lncRNA from 1 species